GAUGAAGAACGCAGCGAAAUGCGAUAAGUAAUGUGAAUUGCAGAAUUCAGUGAAUCAUCGAAUCUUUGAACGCACAUUGCGCCCACCAGUAUUCUGGCGAGCAUGCCUGUUCGAGCGUCAUUUCAACCAUCAAGCCCCAGGCUUGUGUUGGAGCCCUGCGGCUGCCGCAGCCUCCCAAAACCAGUGGCGGGCUCGCUAUCACACCGAGUGCAGUAGUUUACUCUUCGCUCAGGGCGUGUGGCGGGUGCUAGCCGUGAAACCCCCAACUUCUCAAGGUUGACCUCGGAUCAGGUAGGAAUACCCGCUGAACUUAAGCAUAUCAAUAAGCGGAGGA
rnacentral:misc_RNA from 1 species